AAAAAGACAAACCUUGAUUUCCGUGCCCAACGUUUGACCGUCCGUCUUAUUUGAAAAAAUUAUGAAAAAAAAAGUAAAAAGACAAGUCACGCAUAAAAUAUUAAUCAUGUUUUAUCAUUUAACAACAAUGAAAAUACAAAUUAUAAAAAAAUUUCAUAUAAGACGGACAGUCAAAGUUAGACACGGAAACCCAGGGUUUGUCUUUUU
rnacentral:pre_miRNA from 1 species